rnacentral:rRNA from 1 species
AGUGGCGAACGGGUGAGUAACACGUGGGUGAUCUGCCCUGCACUUUGGGAUAAGCCUGGGAAACUGGGUCUAAUACCGAAUAGGAUCAUGCUCUUCAUGGGGUGUGGUGGAAAGCUUUUGCGGUGUGGGAUGGGCCCGCGGCCUAUCAGCUUGUUGGUGGGGUAAUGGCCUACCAAGGCGACGACGGGUAGCCGGCCUGAGAGGGUGACCGGCCACACUGGGACUGAGAUACGGCCCAGACUCCUACGGGAGGCAGCAGUGGGGAAUAUUGCACAAUGGGCGCAAGCCUGAUGCAGCGACGCCGCGUGAGGGAUGACGGCCUUUGGGUUGUAAACCUCUUUCACCAGGGACGAAGCGCAAGUGACGGUACCUGGAGAAGAAGCACCGGCCAACUACGUGCCAGCAGCCGCGGUAAUACGUAGGGUGCGAGCGUUGUCCGGAAUUACUGGGCGUAAAGAGCUCGUAGGUGGUUUGUCGCGUUGUUCGUGAAAACUCACAACUCAAUUGUGGGCGUGCGGGCGAUACGGGCAGACUAGAGUACUGCAGGGGAGACUGGAAUUCCUGGUGUAGCGGUGGAAUGCGCAGAUAUCAGGAGGAACACCGGUGGCGAAGGCGGGUCUCUGGGCAGUAACUGACGCUGAGGAGCGAAAGCGUGGGGAGCGAACAGGAUUAGAUACCCUGGUAGUCCACGCCGUAAACGGUGGGUACUAGGUGUGGGUUCCUUCCUUGGGAUCCGUGCCGUAGCUAACGCAUUAAGUACCCCGCCUGGGGAGUACGGCCGCAAGGCUAAAACUCAAAGGAAUUGACGGGGGCCCGCACAAGCGGCGGAGCAUGUGGAUUAAUUCGAUGCAACGCGAAGAACCUUACCUGGGUUUGACAUGCACAGGACGCCGGCAGAGAUGUCGGUUCCCUUGUGGCCUGUGUGCAGGUGGUGCAUGGCUGUCGUCAGCUCGUGUCGUGAGAUGUUGGGUUAAGUCCCGCAACGAGCGCAACCCUUGUCCUAUGUUGCCAGCGGGUUAUGCCGGGGACUCGUAGGAGACCGCCGGGGUCAACUCGGAGGAAGGUGGGGAUGACGUCAAGUCAUCAUGCCCCUUAUGUCCAGGGCUUCACACAUGCUACAAUGGCCGGUACAAAGGGCUGCGAUGCCGUGAGGUGGAGCGAAUCCUUUCAAAGCCGGUCUCAGUUCGGAUCGGGGUCUGCAACUCGACCCCGUGAAGUCGAGUCGCUA